CCCCUCUCGCCGCUUGCCUCGCCCAGCGCAGCCCCGGCCGCUGGGCGCACCCGUCCCGUUCGUCCCCGGACGUUGCUCUCUACCCCGGGAACGUCGAGACUGGAGCGCCCGAACUGAGCCACCUUCGCGGACCCCGAGAGCGGCGGCGCGACUCACCGCGGAGGCGCCCGGACGCGUCAAUGUCCCCCAGGGCAAGGACUGAACCAGGUCGCGAGGGUCUGUCUCCCGUCUGGGGAGCUGAACUGCCCGAGACACUGUCGCAGUCGCGGGGACUUGUCUGGAGCGGCGGGGUCUGAGCCCAAGUCCGAAGCCGCCGCUGCCGCCAGCGUCCCGUGCGCCUGCCGCCCCGGGACCAGCCGCGAAACUUCUUCUCGGGACGGAGACAGCGCUCGCCGCCCGGGCCGAGGCCCAGCCCAAUAGGAAGCACCUGAUCCACACUCUUUCUAGCCCCAGGGAUGCUCAGGAAAGCAGCCUUUCUUUAGGGCUGUCAUCUGUUCUGGGGAUCUGUUGCUGUUUCUUGGGCCCACAGAAUACACUCCACACCUCGGGACUCUAUAAUAUUGGACAAGGCUGGAAGGCCCAUUUGGCUCCUGCAGCCUCUUAUGCAGGUGAGGACAGACCCAAGGUCCAGGCAAUGCUGGCCUUUGGAACACAGAACCUGGCUCACUGACUCCCACUCCAGUUGUCUUUUCCCUCUGCCUCUGGAGCAACCCUCUCUCCUCCGGAGCAACCCCUGUCCCUCCUUCCUACCUCUCUCUAGGGCUGCACCCCCAGCUCACCUUAGACCUGGCCCUUCCUACCUGUUGCCCCUACUGUCUUGUCCCAUCCCAGUGGUCAGGAGGGAGAGUACUGGCCAAAGGCCCAGCUCCACCUGUGACUUAGGGGAGCGCCAGGCAUCACCCAGAGGUCCCGGCCCUCGGGGGCCUGGCAGGCUCUGCUGUGGGGGAAGCAGAGUUAGAACUGGGGCUGCUUCUCCUGUCCCCCAGCCUGGCUGGGCCUCCCCCACCUCCCUUUCUGCCUGCCCUCUUACAACUCCAGCAGGGGGCGGGCAGGGGAAAGAAAAGGAGGGACAAGUUGGAUGGGGUCCAUUUGGUGUCCAGGAACAACUUGGAGAGAGGCGGGGAGGGGACAGGCAGCAGGGCCCUGGCAGAGCCAGGGGAGGGCUGGCCUUUGGAUGGCCUUCUGAUCCCAAGCCCAUCCUCCUGGGGCAGUCUUCCCUUGAAAGGGAGGGUUUGGUGAACCCUGGUGCGGACCCCCCCGCCGGACCUCACUGCCCCAGUGUGGGGCGUGGUAGGCGGGUUUGCAAUGGGUACAGCCUCUCUCUCCAUUCCAGUAGAGCAGCUCCCAGGGCCCAGAGAGGCUGUCACUGAGACUUCCCUCUGGGGUGGGGUGGGUUCUGGUGGCCCUGUGUUCCCCUGCAGGAGGACCUCCUGAGGCUUCGAGCAGGAGCUGGUGCACACCUGGAGGAGAGUGCUGGUGAAUGGCAGGUGUGUGCCUCAGUGUCCUUGCUGCCUGGGUGUCAGCCCUGCUUCACCACUGGCCCUUUGUCUCUGUCCCCUCCACUGGCCUGUUGAAGCACAGAGACCCUCCGGGUACUUUCCUUCCUCUGGGCUUCCACUCAUGCUAUUCCCUGCUCCCUUCUUCUACCUGGAGACCCCCAUUCCUCCUCCUCCUCUGCUGCCCUCACCUCCACCUGGGCCCUCCCAGCUCCUGGGAGAUGGCUAAACCCCACUCCCCACCCGCUAGUCAUCCUCUUCAGCGGUCCUCCCAGAGCUGUCCUCGGCAUGGCAGCCUCCACAGCCCCUGGGUGUCACCCCCGGUUUCGUGUCUGCCUUGGACUCCAGACCUGCCCCUCCCAGGCUGGCCCAGAUGGAUCCUCUGCAGUGACUAACCCAAACCAGCACCAGGCAGGGACCCAAUAAACCUUCGUGAAUGGA
rnacentral:lncRNA from 1 species